rnacentral:rRNA from 1 species
AUUGAACGCUGGCGGCAGGCCUAACACAUGCAAGUCGAGCGGAUGAAGGGAGCUUGCUCCUGGAUUCAGCGGCGGACGGGUGAGUAAUGCCUAGGAAUCUGCCUGGUCGUGGGGGAUAACGUCCGGACACGGGCGCUAAUACCGCAUACGUCCUGAGGGAGAAAGUGGGGGAUCUUCGGACCUCACGCUAUCAGAUGAGCCUAGGUCGGAUUAGCUAGUUGGUUGGGUAAAGGCCUACCAAGGCGACGAUCCGUAACUGCUCUGAGAGGAUGAUCAGUCACACUGGAACUGAGACACGGUCCAGACUCCUACGGGAGGCAGCAGUGGGGAAUAUUGGACAAUGGGCGAAAGCCUGAUCCAGCCAUGCCGCGUGUGUGAAGAAGGUCUUCGGAUUGUAAAGCACUGUUAGUUGGGAGGAAGAGCAGUAAGUGAAUACCUUGCUGUUUUGACGUUACCAACAGAAUAAGCACCGGCUAACUUCGUG